CUCUGUGUUUUUCUGUGUGGACAGAGCUGUGUCCCUGUGACCUCAGUCUCUGUGUCUCUCUGUGUGGACAGAGCUGUGUCCCUGUGACCUCAGUCUCUGUGUCUCUCUGUGUGGACAGAGCUGUGUCCCUGUGACCUCAGUCCUGGGCUCUGUGACCUCAGCUGUUGCUGUGAUCUCCACGACUGUGACCAGACAGACCUGCGCAGCGUCUUCACCUCCUGUGUGGAGGAGGCUGGCAGGUCUCCCAGUGUCCAGUGUGUGGAGGGCUGGAUGCUCUUCAAGGUGAAUGUGGCCUCUGGGAUACUGUGGCGAACAGAGGGACAGACGAACCUCCUCUGUGUGCAGACAGACAGUGGGGUGAGCUCCUGGUCCUCUCCGUCAGUGUCUCGGUUCCCUGAGCUGGGCUCUUCCUGGGUGAGCCCUGCUCCUUGGCCCUUCU